rnacentral:rRNA from 1 species
AGUACNAUCGCAAGAUUAAAUCAAAGGAUUGACGGGGGCCCGCACAAGCAGCGGAGCAUGUGGUUUAAUUCGAAGCAACGCGAAGAACCUUACCUGGACUUGACAUCCCCUGAAUAACCUAGAGAUAGGCGAAGCCCUUCGGGGCAGGGAGACAGGUGGUGCAUGGUUGUCGUCAGCUCGUGUCGUGAGAUGUUAGGUUAAGUCCUGCAACGAGCGCACCCUUAUUGUUAGUUGCUAACAUUCAGUUGAGCACUCUAACGAGACUGCCGCGGUUAACGCGGAGGAAGGUGGGGAUGACGUCAAAUCAUCAUGCCCCUUAUGUCCAGGGCAACACACGUGCUACAAUGGGCAGAACAAAGAGAAGCAAUACCGCGAGGUGGAGCCAAACUCAAAAAUGCUCUCAGUUCGGAUUGCAGGCUGAAACUCGCCUGCAUGAAGCUGGAGUUGUCUAGUAAUCGCGAAUCAGCAUGUCGCGGUGAAUACGUUCC